rnacentral:lncRNA from 1 species
UAGGUGUGCGUGAAUGUGUUUCAGUCUGUAAAGAGCAGCGGACACAGGAGACAUCGAACUGCCAAUCAAAAACCUGAGAAGCAGCCGUUGCCAGGUGCGAAAAGACCCAAAUCAACCCAAGAUUCGAGUCUCCCCUACCCAGCCAAUCAGACAGAGGGACUCCUCUGCGCUCAGAUCAAUCCGAAAAGGAGGAGCAUCGAGGGCUCGUUAAAAAGAAGAUUUCUCUUAACAGUGGAACUUUCCAUUCGAAGCUCGAUUGAGUUGUUGAUCGCUCCGAAGCUGUGGGUCAGCCAAAUAACUUGUGACCUCCUUUCACAGGUAUGUAUAACAAGGUAAUGACAUUGCUUUUUAUAUAUUGUUUCAUUUAUGACUUCA